CUAUUCACUAAUUAAUUAGGCAGCGUUUGGUUAGGGGAUAGGAAUAGGAAUAGGUCCUUAUCCCCCUUUAUACCCAAACGCUAAUUUUUUAUCCGAGAAUAGUAGUUCUCGGUUAUCCCCACCAACACCUCCAUUUUUCAUAUAAAACUACCUAAAAUUGUUCUUAUCCCCGGGAACAACCCAAUUUUCAUUCAAACACUAUUUUUCUUAUCCCCAAAUUUGUAUCUAUUCCUGUAAUAAUUAGUUCUUGCUUAUACCCGAACCAAACGAUACCUUUCAAGUGGAGGAUAGAAUACGAAACGGGAGAAAGUAAAUCAUUGAAUAAUGGUCUGACAGAUGGUAUGCGAUAU
rnacentral:lncRNA from 1 species